GUCCACGCCCUAAACGAUGAUGACUAGUUGUUGGAGGAGUUAAAUCCUUUAGUAACGCAGCUAACGCGAGAAGUCAUCCGCCUGGGGGAGUACGGUCGCAAGAUUAAAACUCAAAGGAAUUGACGGGGGCCCGCACAAGCGGUGGAUGAUGUGGUUUAAUUCGACGCAACGCGAAAAACCUUACCUACCCUUGACAUGUACGGAACCUCAUGGAGACGUGAGGGUGCCCGAAAGGGAGCCGUAACACAGGUGCUGCAUGGCUGUCGU
rnacentral:rRNA from 1 species